rnacentral:misc_RNA from 1 species
UUCAAGAGUACAGAAUUGCAGCUGGGAGGAUCGGAAAUGAGAAAUAAUGACCUUGUUGCCGAGGUAGCCCAUGAUGCCGCGGCCGACGCAGGAGAAGCGGACGUGGCCGACGUGGGGCACCAGCCCGCGCCUCACCCACACCGUCGCGAACAGCCCCACCAUCUGCUUGCACGCCACCAGGCAGUACCUCUCGCGCCGGCCCGGCGCCCCCGCACCCGCAGCCGCCCAGGCGGCAGCGGCGGCGGGGCUCUUGGUCACGUCGGACGCCGCGAAGCUGCUGGCCCUGACCUCCUCGUCCUCCUCGUCGGACGUCGUCGUCGUGUCGUCGCCCUCGACGGCUGCGGCGCUCGCGCCCCUGCCGCCGCAGCCCAUCAGGCAGGGCGCCCUCAGCGGCAGGCGCCGGCGGCGGCGGCGACGGUGCUGGUGGUCCGGCGACGGGCACGUGCACGCCUUGAGCCGCCGCCCGCGGGUGAUGGCGGCGCGCCGGAUCUCCCUGUUGGAGGCCUUGUGGAACCGGGAUGGGUCCAGCGGGCUGGCGCUCGGCGUCGCCGGCGUCUGCACAGCCACCGCCGCCGCCGCCGUG